AGACUGGUUAAUGAUAACAAUGAAUGGGAAAACCUUCAGUAGGAAAGAAUGGUUUGUGGACCAUUGUUUUUGUAUGUGGCAGUUUUAAGUUAUUAGUUUUCAAAAUCAGU
ensembl:miRNA